rnacentral:rRNA from 1 species
UACAGAGGUCCCAAGCGUUGUUCGGAUUCACUGGGCGUAAAGGGUGCGUAGGCGGUCGGGUAAGUCUGACGUGAAAUCUCCGAGCCCAACUCGGAAACUGCGUCGGAUACUAUUCGGCUAGAGGAAUGGAGGGGAGACUGGAAUUCUCGGUGUAGCAGUGAAAUGCGCAGAUAUCAGGAAGAACACCCGUGGCGAAGGCGGCUCUCUGGGACGGUACUGACGCUGAGACGCGAAAGCGUGGGGAGCGAACAGG